UACAGAGGUCCCAAGCGUUGUUCGGAUUCACUGGGCGUAAAGGGUGCGUGGGUGGUUAGGUAAGUCCGAUGUGAAAUCUCCAGGCUCAACCUGGAAAUGGCAUUGGAUACUAUCUAGCUUGAGGAGUGGAGGGGGGACUGGAAUUCUCGGUGUAGCAGUGAAAUGCGUAGAUAUCGAGAGGAACACCAGUGGCGAAGGCGAGUCCCUGGACACUUCCUGACACUGAGGCACGAAAGCUAGGGGAGCAAACAGG
rnacentral:rRNA from 1 species